AAAAAAUCAAACCCUGGGUUUACGUGUCCAACUUUGACUAUCCGUCUUAUAUGAAAUUUUUUUAUAAUUCGUAUUUUUAUUAUUGUUAGAUGAUAAAACAUGAUUAAUAUUUUAUGCGUGACUUGUCUUUUUAAUUUUUUUUAUAAUUUUUUUAAAUAAGACGGACGGUCAAACGUUGGACAUGGAAACCAGGGUUUGUCUUUUU
rfam:Oryza sativa Japonica Group DNA, chromosome 11, cultivar: Nipponbare, complete sequence.